GCGCCCGCGUGCCGCAGCCCGCGUCGCCUACCGCCGCCGCGCGCCUCCGCCGCCCCGCGCCGCUGCCGCCGCCGCCGCCGCCACGCUUGCUGGCUGGCCGGCUGCGGGCGCCGGGCUCCUGCUGGAGGAGAGGACAGCCAGCGCCGCCGCCGCUCCGGUCCGGGCCCGGGUCCCGGCCCCGGCCCCGUCCCGGGCCCCGGCCACAACCCCCUGCCCGGCCCGGCCAUGAAGUGUCACUACGAGGCGCUGGGGGUGCGGCGCGACGCCAGCGAGGAGGAGCUCAAGAAGGCCUAUCGGAAGCUGGCCCUGAAAUGGCACCCGGAUAAAAAUCUGGAUAAUGCCGCAGAAGCAGCUGAACAAUUUAAAUUAAUCCAAGCAGCAUAUGAUGUGUUGAGUGACCCUCAGGAAAGAGCAUGGUAUGAUAAUCAUAGAGAGGCCUUACUUAAAGGAGGGCUGGAUGGAGAAUAUCAGGAUGACAGCUUAGAUUUGCUUCACUAUUUCACUGUUACUUGUUAUUCUGGAUAUGGAGACGAUGAAAAGGGCUUUUACACAGUGUAUCGUAGUGUUUUUGAAAUGAUUGCAAAGGAAGAACUGGAAUCUGUGUUAGAGGAGGAUGUUGAGGAUUUCCCAACUUUUGGAGACUCCCAGAGUGACUAUGAUACGGUAGUCCACCCUUUCUACGCUUACUGGCAGAGUUUCUGCACUCAAAAGAAUUUUGCUUGGAAGGAAGAAUAUGAUACCCGGCAAGCUUCAAACCGCUGGGAAAAACGAGCCAUGGAAAAAGAAAACAAAAAGAUUCGAGACAAAGCAAGGAAAGAGAAGAAUGAGCUUGUACGGCAGCUGGUAGCUUUCAUUCGGAAAAGAGAUAAAAGAGUGCAGGCACAUCGAAAGCUUGUAGAGGAACAAAACGCUGAGAAGGCGAGGAAGGCCGAGGAGAUGAGGCGGCAGCAGAAACUAAAGCAGGCAAAACUGGCAGAACAGUACAGAGAACAGAGCUGGAUGACCGUGGCUGAUUUGGAAAAGGAACUGCGGGAGAUGGAAGCACGAUACGAAAAGGAGUUUGGAGAUGGAUCAGAUGACAAUGAAAUAGAACACCAUGAACUUAAAGAUGGACAAGAUGGUAAAGAUAGUGAUGAGGCCGAAGAUGCUGAGCUUUAUGAUGACCUUUACUGUCCAGCAUGUGACAAAUCUUUCAAGACAGAAAAGGCUAUGAAGAAUCAUGAAAAGUCAAAGAAGCAUCGGGAAAUGGUUGCCUUGUUAAAACAACAAUUGGAGGAAGAGGAAGAAAAUUUUUCAGGAUCUCAUACAGACGAAAAUCUAUUGAAUGCCAAUUCUGAGGAAGAAAUGGAAGAUACACCAAAACAAAAGCAUUCUAAAAAGCAGAAGAAAAGGAAACAGAAACCAGCACAGAAUUACGAUGACAAUUUCAAUGAAAAUGGACCUGGAGAAGGAGUAAAGGUUGAUCCAGAAAAUAUCAACUUAAAUCAAAACAGUGCCAAAGAAUUAGAAGUUAUUCCCCAAGAAAAUGCCAAUGUCACAGAGACCAUUGAAGCUUGUGAUGAUCCAAAAAGUGAAGCUAAAAGUGUUCCUAAACCCAAAGGAAAGAAAACCAAAGAUGUGAAAAAAUCUGUCAAAGUACCUGCUGAACCACAAAUACUGAAUGAUGUUCUUAUCAGCUGUACAACCUGCCAUAGUGAAUUUCCAUCCCGGAAUAAACUUUUUGAUCAUCUAAAAGCUACAGGUCAUGCAAGAGCACCUCCAUCUUCAUCUUUAACCAGUGUAACAAGUAGUCGAAGCAAGAAAGAGAAACGUAAAAACAGAUAGAAAUUCAGCCAACGCGCUUUUUGUUUUUUAACUGUCUCUAGAUUUUGAAACCAAAAACUGAACUGAAAUCAUCUAAAGAGUUAAAAUUUCAGUGAUCUGCAAUUUAUUGCAUUGUGGAAGAUUAUUUUUAUCUUGUAAAGACAUUUUUUGUUUAAUAUAUAUUUUUUAAACAUUUCACUAGUGAUUGAAUUCUACUUUUGCCAUCUGAAUUGACUUGAAUGUCUUAAAACAGCUUUCUCCAUCUCUUCAGGGGCAAUACUAGCCAGUUUUGUAUCUUCUGAUCUUUUCCUCCCAGGCUUCAUCUGAACACCGUCUACCUUCCUAUAAUAUGAACUAGAUGAAGUUGAUCAUAAUUAUGAAUAGGAAUAUUAGUAAAUAGAAGCACAUGUAAGUCACAUAUUAUUAUACAGUGAAAAAAAUAUAAAGAUUUCUUGAAAGGCAUAGAGUGUCCUAUCAAUGUCCUUCAGACCUUCUUUGCUUUCCUUCGUAUUGACCAUGAUGGUGUUUAAUUUGUUUU